rnacentral:rRNA from 1 species
GAUGAACGCUAGCGGGAGGCUUAACACAUGCAAGUCGAGGGGCAGCAUAGGGUAGCAAUACUCUGAUGGGCGACCGGCAAACGGGUGAGUAACGCGUAUGCAACCUACCCUGUACAGGGGGAUAACCCGGAGAAAUUCGGACUAAUAUCCCGUAAUAAUAUCCGGAGGCAUCUUUGGAUAUUUAAAGUUCCGACGGUACGGGAUGGGCAUGCGUAACAUUAACUGGUUGGUAAGGUAACGGCUUACCAAGGCUAUGAUGUUUAGGGGUCCUGAGAGGGUGGUCCCCCACACUGGUACUGAGACACGGACCAGACUCCUACGGGAGGCAGCAGUGAGGAAUAUUGGUCAAUGGGCGCAAGCCUGAACCAGCCAUCCCGCGUGCAGGAAGACGGCCCUAUGGGUUGUAAACUGCUUUUCCAGGGAGAGAAACUUACGCACGUGUUGCGUGACUGACGGUACCCUGGGAAUAAGCAUCGGCUAACUCCGUG